UAUAUAUGUGUGUGUGAGAGAGUUUUUAACCGAGUGGUGUAUAGAUGUGUGUGAUUUUUCUUGGUUCAUUGUCGUCUAAUAGUUUGCGAUUGCAAUUCUUAGAGCAAGUAUGUUAUUUCUUUUACCUGGAUAACUGUUAGUUAUAGUUUCCUCCUGUUUCGGAUUUCUCUUCUUCUUGCAGAUUUAUAUUUUUCCAUACUCAGUUCUGGACAUGCAUUUUUUAAUGUUGCCGAUUUGCUUGGAUCUUGAGAUUAUUGAGCUAUGGAGAUUAAAAUAUUGUAGAUCAGCUGUUUGCUUCAACUUCCUUCAAUACCGAAUCAAAUGAAACAUGUUUGUCAUGAAUAGAGAUGGCCGAUGGGGCUUAAAGAGACAACAUGUAUUCUAUUUUCAGAAUAUCACUGAAAGAAUCCCACUUAAUUGGCUCAGCGACCCCAUCCAUGGGGCAUGCUGUGCACACGACCUCCGAACCUGUGCUUCGUCAGAGGUUUUGUUGACAGGACUUAUAUGCAGUCAUCCAGCUUUUUUAACAACGUGAUUUCUCAAUGGAGAUCAAAACUAUUUGCGAGGACAUAUGGCUUUCAAUAAGAUCCUUUGCAAGAGUUAUUGUUUCUUUUUAUUCCUAGGUAGUGGAACACCUCUUAGACAAUGUUUAGUACAUUAUACUUAUUUGUAUGUUUGGAGAAAUCGUGAGAAUUUAUUUUUCUAUAUUAUUAUGUAAUCAGGCCUACAACUCAAAUUGAGUGCUGCUUUGCAAUAGUAUAAUCAUGCUUUCAUGUGAAA